GGAGGAGGCAGCCGCUCCCCGCCCGCUCCCACCCUCUGAGGCUGAGGGAGGCGAGUGACAGAUCCGCCCAGGAGCCAGCGGCGAGACCUGCUGCCGCCUCCGGGAGCCUUCCGCCUGCUGCCCGCCGGGCUCCUGAGGCGACUUUCCCCGGCAAGAGGGCGGCGGCAGGUCACAGGUUGCCCCCGCUUUCCGAAGACGGGCUUCCCUCGCCCGCCCAGUUCCCUCUGCCCCAGCCGCGCCCGGUCUCCCCGGCUCUUACCGCCUAUGCCGGUGGCGGCACCCGCUCCGAAGCGCGGCGGCGGUGGUGGCGGCGGUGGUAGCGGCGGCGAGGGGGAAAGGAGGGGGGGGCGGAGGGAGGUGACUUUUGGCAGCAGGCGGCGGGCGGCCCCGCGAGCCGCGGCUCCCCCGCGGCAGCGAUGCGAUCGGGCAUCACUCGAAAAUGGCGCCGAAAGAGCAGGGCUCUUCAUUCAAAUUCGUUAGAGCCAGCCCCGCUGCCCUGGGGCAUGCCGGGAAGGGAGGGGGGGCUGGCGGGGGGAGCGCGGCUCGGGCUGAGGCAGCGCUACGGACACGGCGCUCGCUGUCAAUGCCGCCCCUCCCCCUCCACCCCCCCCGCACUCCCCCCGCUCGCAGCCAGCGCGCGCUCCACGCCCUCCCCGCUAGCGCGCGCUCCCGCGCUACCAACCCAACCGCCACUAAUGGGGAGGGGGGGGAAGGAGGAGAAGGGGGGGAGAGACAGGGAGAGAGAAUGAGAGGGGAGAGAGAAAUGUCACCCGGAAUCCCGGCCCGUGGGGGAGAGGUGGCGCGUUAGAGAUGUGUGUGGGAGAGAGAGGGGGAGCGAGACCUCCGCCGGCCCCGCGGACUUGUCAAGUAGAAAACAGCAAGCUUUUGGGCUCAAAAAGCUUAGACCAUCAUGGCUACGAAAACGGCUGCUACUCAGAAAAUAUGUAACUCUGGAGCUCCUUAGUGAAAAAGUAGUCAAAGGCAACAUCAGAGCAGUUGCCAAGUGAUCUUCUCCACAGCACCCAUGAACUUCAGCUUUGAACUGAAGAGGACUCAUCAAAUGGAGAGGCAGCAUGGAAUUGGAAGAGAAGUGGGGAUCUUCAUGAAGGGCAGUCAAGUGCAGUUUUGGUGUGUGAAGGAACAGGUCCUGUUUUCACUGUUGUUACUCCCACAUGGGCGGACUCUGUAACUGAUUAUGUCUGGGUAGGGCCCUAUUGAAAUUAAGGAGAUUCUACAAUAGUGCAGGGUUUUUUUGUGAAAGUUCUGUUGCAAGAUCAGGACGCUACUGUGACUCCUUACUGUGAAUUCUGUCAGUGUAUCAUUGAUUGUGCUGGAACCUGCCUUUUGGGAUAAUUACCAAAUAAUAUAUUCCUCAAAACUUCUUAAUGGCACUGAGACUUUGUGGAUAGUUGGUCACAUGAUGAGAAAAUUCAGCUAAUCGAAAAGCCAUUGGUGAAAUUCUGAGUACAAGACAGGAUGACGGGCCUUGUUUGAACACCCAUUCCAAACCUUGGCUGAAACACCGUCCAUCUUCCACCUUGGUACAGAUUUAACAUCAGCUGUAUGAUUUAACUUGAGAAGUCUAUAGGAACAGUAACUAGUAAUCUACACUCAGAUGGUCUACUUUACCUGUAGUGCUGAGCUAUUGAGAUAAUUUCCUUUUUAUGACUUGUGUCAAGCUUGAAGCUUUCAAAACCAUGUGUCAAAGGUAGAAGAUUGUCAGUGUCAAAAACAGUCAAGAUAUGACACCUCCUGCUUCUCCCAUCUGUUAUCCUGUUGCAGAAGGAAACUAGAUUAGUAUGUCACCACCUAGUCUUAUCCAGAAAAGACUACAUACGUACUUAAUUCAAGCCUUUACAAGGCCUGCAGCAGCGGUUCCCAAACCAUGGCCUCAAGUGAAGGCGCUGCCUAUGAGGACGGGCGCCAACCUGGCUGAAAUCAAACUGGAGAAGUGGGGCUGAUACGCUGAAGUACGUCUGCCAGGGUUAAUGUGGUGUCGCAGUCUGGGCAGUGGGGCUGCUAGAGCAACCUGAUGGGAGACACUGCCCUAGAGCCUUUUUCCAUUCGUCUUUUCUACAGGGCUGCCCCCAUCCUCCUCUGAUAAAUAAGACAGUACUAGUGACAACUGACGUGGAGAAGGCUGAAGUGCUCAAGAAUUUUUUUUCUUCAGUUUUCAAUGGUAAUCUUGGGGAUGUUGGUUGAGGACAAACUCAACAUGACCCAACAAUGUGUACUUGCAGCUCAGAAAGCCAACUGUAUCCUGGGCUGCAUCAAAAGAAGCAUGAUCAACAGGUCAAGGGAGGUGAUUCUGCCUCUCCAAGUCACUCUUGUGAGACCCUGCCUAGAGUACUGUGUUCAGCUCUGGAGACCCCAACAUAAGAAAGACAUGGAACUGUUGGAGCAAGCAGAGAAGGGCCAUGAAGAUGAUCAGAGGGCUGGAGCAUCUCUCCUAUGAAGACAGGAUGACAGAGUUGGGGUUGUUCAGCCCGAAGAAGAAAAGGCUCUGGGGAGACCUUAUAGCAGCCUUCAACUACCUAAAGGGGAUCUACAAGAAAGACGGAGAGGGAUAUUUUAUGGGGACAUGUAGUGAUAGGACAACGGGUAAUGGCUUUAAACUGAAAGAAGGUAGAUUUAGAUUAGAUAUGAGGAAGAAAUUCUUCACCAUGAGGGUUGUGAGGCUCUGAAACAGGUUGUCCAGAGAAGCUGUGGAUGCUUCAUCCCUGGAAACAUUCAAGGCCAAGUUGGAUGGGGCUGUGAGCAACCUGGUCUAGUGGAAGAUGUCCCUGCCCAUGGCAGGAGGUUUGGAACUAGGUGAUCUUUAAGGUCCCUUCCAACCCAGACCAUUCUGUGAUUCUAUGAUUCUAUGAUUCUAUGAUUCUAUGAUUCUGUGAUUCUGUGAUCUCUCUUCCCACAUCUCUCAACCCCCUGAACUUCAAGGCAGGAACUGGAAGGAUGAAGUCCCUUCCAUUGUUAGUGAAGACCAGGUUUGAGACCACCUGAGGAACCUGAACAUGUAUAAGUCUGUGGGACCCAAAGAGGUGCACAGCAGGGUCCUGAGGGAAUUGACUGAUGUAUUUGCCAAGCCACUCCAUCAUAUCUGGAAAAUCAUGGCAAAAUCCCCUGUGACUGGAAAAAAGGAGACGUUGCACCCAUUUUUAAAAAGGGUGAAAAGGAGGACCCUGGUAACUACCGACCGGUCAGCCUCACCUCUAUGCUCCAUAAGAUUACAGAGCAGAUCCUCCUGGAAGAUAGUUUAAACACAUGUAAGACAGGGAGGUGAUUAGAGAGGACCUGUCUUGCCUGACUAAUUUAGUGGCCUUGUACAAUGCAGUGACUGCAUCAGUGGACAAGGAAAUAGCUACAGAUGUCAUCUACCUGGACUUUUGUAAGUCCUUUGAUACAAUCCCCGCGCCAUUCUUACCUCUAAAUUAGAGAUACAGGUGUGCUGCAUGGACUGUUGGAUAAGGAUCCGCCUGGUAAAAUCAAUUACUUAAUGUUCAGGUGGAAACCAGUAACGAGUGGUGUCCCUUCAAGGGUCUGUACUGGGACCAAUACUAUUUAAUAUCUUCAUCAAUGACGUAGACAGUGAGAUUGAGUGUACCCUCAGAAAGUUUUCAGAUAACACCAAGCUGAGCAAUGCAGGUGAUUUGCUAGAGGGUGAAAGUAGCCACUGCCCAUGGCAGAGGGAUUGGACUAGAUGAUCUUUAAAGGUGCCUUCCAACCCAAACUAUUCUAUGAUCUGUUUUUAAUGUGUGGCUAUUUAAAAGAUAAUGUUUUUGUCUUGAGAACAGAUCGAUAUUAUGGCUGGUGUUAUUUCAAAGAAUGACAUAAGUCAGUGUGUCUAAUUCUGGAUAUGGCACACUGUUGUAGUCAAAGGCAAGUAAUAUUUUUGCUUCUGUAUCUCUAAAAUGGGUCGUUAUCACAGAAUUAAAGAAAUCGGUGCUACAGCAGAUCCAAAGUCAUCUACUCCUUCCCUCUGAUCAGAGAAGAAUUAAAUAUACCUACAUACUCCUUAACAGAUAUUUGACUAACCUGCUUUCCAAGAUCUCCAAGAAUGGAGCUUUCAGAACUUCUCAAGAUGGUUCAUUCCAGUGUUUAAUGAUUUAGAAAAUCAUCCUUUUUUCAUACACAAGUUAUAUGUGCAAGCCUGAUCUGUAACCUGAAUCUCGUUUGCUGUAAUUUAAGACCAUUGCUACCUCUUCCUGAUCUUGACUGGAAAUGGUUUGAGAAUUUUUCUUGACCUCCAGCCAUUCUUGCAGCUUUACUUUUAUUUUCCAUCUUUCCUGACGUGCAGUGCCCAAAAUUGGAUGUGAUGUAACCUGUGCCAAACAGAGUGGAAGGAUUCCUUCAUAUGCCCUGUCAGGUGUAGAUCCCAUUAUAUUAUGACUGCUUUUUUCAUAGUUAAAUGACACUGAUGAUUAAUCUUCAGUUUAUUCAGCUUUAAUCCUAAGGUAUUUUUCUGAGAACUGCUCCUUAGCCUAUCAUCUCCCAUCCUUCAUAUGCAGCCUAAGUAUAGAGCUUUCUCUUGUCUCAGUAGAACUGCCUCCUAUUAUUUUCAGACCAUUUCUCCAUUUUGUUAAGAUCUUUUAGUUCAUUACUAAGCUAGUCUGGAAUAUUCACGUAUCUGCUAGUGAGAGUUGUGAGGCCUCAGAGAGAUUUCAGAUGUUCACCCUUGGGUUAAAUGUAGGUGUCCACAUGUGAGCUGGGUGUCUAAAUGCCUUUGUAGUCAAACUAGUCAGUAGAAUCAAUGGAGAUGAAAGACAAUUAAUCUCAUUCUUAUGUAGAUAUCUACAUUUGGUCAGCUGACUUUCAUUGUACCCUUCAUCAUUAGUUAAUGUGAAUUCAGUGUAAACAUAUCAAAGGAGGUCUGUAGGCCUACUCUGGCUUGGAAAACAAUACGAAAUAACAUAAUGAAGCUCUCUGAGAAAGACUUUACAGCAAUUUUAUAGCUUGUGUAGUAGGAACUGGAAGUAGGAGCCCCAAUUACGCCUUCCUUUCUCAUCUCUUUGUUCACUUGGAACAGCUCUGCCUCUCACCUGCCUACUCCUGGUUUUUAAUUAUGAAAAUAUUAUGGAGGAAUCUUGUUAUAAAGCAAGAUUAAAAGCUUAUUUUUCUCUGAGUUUGUUAAAUCACAGAACAUAUACUUUCUCUGCACAGGACUCCACACAAGGGUGAAAAGCAGCCCUAAACUGUAAAUUUCUGCCUUUUGGUUCCUUGGUGAAGAAGUAGAUAAGCCCUAAGUGUUUGCUUGGUGCUUGGUUAUAUUAUUUUGGGAUAGUUUGUUACUACUGUACUUAAUAUAAAAGUUGCCUUUGUUUUUCAUUUGUUAGAUGCUUCUUUGUGCUGGUUGGCAAAUAAAUAAAAUAGUAGCUAAUAUAUGUGCAACUUCUUGUAAUGGUCACCUUUAUGAAAUUCCCAGGAUUUAAGCUGUAUGUAGAACAAGUAUGACACGGUGGCCAUAAUUUAUGUUUUGCUCUGGAGAAAUAGACCACAUUCUUUCCGAAUGUGCAGUUUGUCAUUCACUGUGAAUGCCCAGAGAAGACUUGGGAGUCAAAAUUGUCUUUGUAAUAUGGAAGACUGUAAUGAUAUUGUCACCUCCUAGGUGCAUCUGUGCCAUAAAGCUUUUCCGAAAUGCAGAUGUCUAGGGUGAGAUUCUUCUAAACUAAAGGUAGAUGUCUGCAAUACAGAUAUUUGUAUCCAAGCAUGUCACCUUAGGUAACGUUUAUGGUUAAUGGAGAGGAGUAGGUAAUUCUGUGAAAUUUUAUAUCUGACUUAUUUUUGCCAUUUCCUUUAUGAUGAGAAGAACCAAAUGUUAGAAGUAUCUGUUUCUCUCCUCUAGUGUCCUGUGACUGCCUGGGUUGAGCCAUCAGCUACACCCAUGACCAGUGUUUUCAGAAGACCAGUACGGUGGCAGCAGUUAGCUGUCACUGAGUCACAAAGAGAAAUGGAGGGACAGCUCUUAGGUCACCUUUCAGUCACCCUCAUUGAUACCAGACAAAAAAAGGACACACAACACUGAGGCCAUUGCAUUGCAGCUGGCACUGCAGCAGGCAGUGGAGGUUGAGCUCUCAGAAGCAAAAGCAUAACUAAUUUUAGUUUUCAGAUCUUCAGUAUUUUCCCAGUCACUGAUAAAACCAACAUCUUCAAGGGACAUAAUGUCCCAAUAUUUUUGUCUGAUACUGUAUCUCUUUCUUCUGUCCCUGAUGGUGUUGAUGUUCUCAGAUGAUAUCUCUAGGCUAGAGUCCUUCUAGAAGUGACAAAAAAAACAUAUUUAUGGGGAGAAAGUCCCCUCCUUGGCUUUCCAUUUGGCUACAGGAAGUAUUUUUCAUUAUAGGUUGCGGUGAGGAGCUACAAUCCAGCCAGUCCUUCCGGUGUCUCUGUUGUGAGGAAAAAAAUAAUCUAUCAAAGCCCAUUUAGUGGGGACUUCGGCCAGACACUUAAGAGUGCUGAUUCUUUGUUAUUUUCUUAUUAGGUGGUUCCUAGGUUUCUAAAGGUCCUGACAUACAUUCUCUACCAAUAAGAAAAAAUCCCUCCUCAUGAGAUUUAAGCAUGUUGCUUUUAUCUUUAAUGGAGUCAUGUUUGAGCAUCUGUCAUCAUGUUCACUAAAUCAUCUGUCAAUGAAAUCCACAUUUUUAGUAGCCAUUAUCUCAGCUCAGGAAUAAAUAAAGUUCUAGCUUUUAUGUCUAAUCCUCCGUAUUAUUUUCAGGUGGAUAGGGUAACACUGAGGCCACAUCUUUAGUUUAUUCUAAAGGUGGUUUCAGAUUUCUUAUUAAUCAGUAUAUCCACUUCCCAAUAUUUUUUCCCAUGACCCAGUUCACUGAUUGAAGGAUCAAAAUACUGAUCCUUCAUGAACGUACUGCCUUAGCCGGACAAAGCUCUUCUGCAAAUCUGUGAUGCUCUUUGGUCUCAAACAGGCUUUGUUGUUCAGGAUCAAAUCUAAAGAGAUGUAGCAUCAACUUCAAACUGAGUCUAAAUUAGUUAGCAGAAUUUAUCAGAGCCACAUUGGAUUUUAUCAAAUUAGAUCCACCAACCCAUCUCAAGGCAUAUACAACUAGAGCACAAGGUUUCACCACAGUAUGUGUUGGCAGAGUUCCAGUAGCUGAGGGCUGUAGGGACACCACGCGAUCACUGAUACAUUUACGAUGUAUCCAAUACUUUUUACAUUUACCAUUACAUUUACAUUUACCAUUUACCCAAUACUCAUGCUGGUAGCACAAAGGCUUGAAGGACACUGAUUCUUCAGCCCUUGUUCCAGGAGUACUGCAUCCAGUUCUGGGCUCCCCAGUUUAAGAAGGACAGGGAAUUACUGGAGGCAGUCCAGUGGCAGGCUACAAAGAUGAUGAGGAGUCUGGAGCAUCUUUCUUAUGAGGAAAAACUGAGAGAGCUGGGCCUGUUCAGCCUGGAGAAGAGAAGGCUGAGAGGGCAUCUCAUCAAUGUUUGUAAAUAUCUCAAGUGUGGGUGUCAAGAGGAUGGACCGAACUCUUUUCAGUGGUACCCAACGAUAGGAUGAGGGGCAAUGGGCACAGACUGAAGCAUUGGAGGUUCCAUCUGAAUGUGAGGAGGAGCAUCUUUACUUUGAGGGUGCCAGAGCACUGGAACAGGCUGCCCAGAGAGGUUGUAUAGUAGAAACUGGAAGUAGGAGCCCCAAUUACGCCUCCUCUGGAGACAUUCAAAACCUGCCUGUACACAUUCCUGUGUGAUCUGCUGUGGUGAACCUGCUUUAGCUGGGGGCUUAGACUAGAUGAUCUCCAGAGGUCCCUUCCAACCCAACCCAUUCUGUGAUUCUGUGAAUGGCUCACAGUUACUGGUGUGAUUGCACUCCUGUUGAAACACCCAGAAAGAAUUUCACAGCUGCCAAAACUUGGAGAAAGAAGAGUGGUUGCUUUUGUCACUGUAAUUCUUUUAUAUGUUAUUUGUAUGUAACUCCCACAACCGGCCCUUCUGUUCCCUGGGUGGACGGCUUGUUGUGUGGACUGAGAUCCACUGAAGAACUCCAUGGUGAGCCCUUUACAUGCUUAUGGGAGGAAAACCAGAGGUGAGCAGGUUGUGCACACACCUUGUUGUGGACACAUAGCAACAUUAGAAACAUUUGAAUUGUUAUGCAGAAGAGACAGAUCCAUGUAGAGCGGGUUUUAGCCACACAAAGUGUCCUGAAGUACAUAGCUACUACGGGGUUAGUGACCCUCUGUAUUGUUCCUUGAUGUGAAACAUGGUACUGUAUCUUUGCUGGGUAUUCUCAUUGUUAUCAUCAUUAGCAGCAAAGAACCUAUGCUUGCUAACAUUGCAACUAAGAGUAAUGAGUUUUUUCAUAGGAAUUAGACCUCAUUAGAAAUCAGAAGCAGGAUUCGUUUUGUGUGCUGCUAAAUUUUCUUUAUUAAACCCAGUGAUAUAUAUCAAGAUUACAUGCCAACCCACAGAAGUCCUUCAGAGUUGUUAUUUUAAACCUGUAUCAAUGAACAGUUUUGUUCUGAAGCCUUUCAAAUGUGUAUGCAUAUACAUUAUAUACAUAACAUAUAUACUUUAUAUAUGUAUAUGUAGUAACAAAGCAAGUAGUUUAAAGCAUUUUAUGGGUCCAGCCUGGAGUUCUGCAUACAUGAACUUGUGUGUGGUCAAGGAGGUUUGCAUAUUUUUGAACUCUGACUUGGCCUAAUAAAAGAUAUCAGACUACAGUGCUUGCUUUGUCAAUCCUGUUUUGCUAGUUCAAAAUGACUUGCAAGAUUAAUUUUCAAUUUUUAACAUAAAAACCAAGAAAAAGAAGUGUUUACUUACUGCAAGGAGUUGAUUCCGUGUUAAUGAUCCUGAAGGAGGCUUGUACACAAGGUACAGAUUGUUGCCAAUUUGAUGUAUAUUCAUGUUACAGAAUAUGAAAAUGUCAAGUUAUACCAUCUUGAGGAUUUUGUUUUUAUAAGUAGGAUUGGUUAAAAAAACCUUUAAGUAAUCAUACUGUGUGUUUGAUGGUGGAAAUUAGUAUGAAUGUUUCUGGCAGUGGAAUGAUGUGAUGUGGUUAUGGGUUUCUGUUUUCAUUGCCUGCUCAAUAUUGGCCUUUUACAAAUACAGAUUACCAUGUCGAUGGAAGGAAUUUACAGCUUUGCCCCCCUUGUCUCACUCUGUGUUACAGCACCUUUUUUGUACUUUAUGUUACGUGUCCUCCCCACGAUAUUUUUCUGACAGAAAAAGGAGAAGUCUGUGGACUGAGGUCCUGAAAAUCUGUAAGCUUUACUAUUUAAUUGGAUGAAAUGAGUAUUAUUUCCCACUUACCUUGAUUUCCUGUGGGGUGAAAAUCUUGCUCCUCUAAAAUCAGUAGCAAACUUUCGGGUGAGUACAACAGGAUGGAGAAGUUCAUCAGUGAUCCCUCACCAGCUUGUGAUGUUGCACACUAGAAGCUCAGAAAAAACCCAGCCCCUUAAUAAUGAGGACAGUAGAAAGAAUGCUUUAAAAAAAAAUCAGGAUUUAGAACUGACAAAGAAAAUCCAUAAAUAAAAUUCAAGCUGAACAGAAAAGCUAUAUGUAUGAUAUGUUUAAUAUUGUUAGUUUUGGGACCUCACGGCCCGGAUAGUUAGAGCUGCAAGAUCCGUUCAUGUUCUGUGGGCUGUUACUGUACAUCCCUUACUGACCUCAUCUUGUGGGCAAGGAGCUGCUUGCUCUGACUCCAUGGAAUUGCAGCUGUAUUUGUGGAGUGCUCUCGUCCUUUGGCACUCCCUCCCCUGUACAUUAAUAGGGUUUGAAUGCACCAGCAUUUUCUCUGGAAGCAAACUUCAAAACUCAUCUUUAAUCCUGAUGCAGUGCAUAUUCAGAAUUUUUUCUUUUCCUGGAGUUUAGUUCCACAGGAAAACAUACUUGACUGAUGCUCCCACCAGCCAGCUGUGGUUUAUAACAAUAAUUAACAGUAAGAUACUGCAGCAGAAAAGGGUUGUACAGAAAUGCAAUCCAGCAGCUUCAGUUAUGUGGUUCUGUUCAUUUCUACAGAUUCCAAAGUACUUCAAAAACAAUAUUACAGGCAGGACGGGCAGCUCUGCCCAUGGGGAAGGUUUCCUAAUGCUUCCUGUUAGAAGAUUCUGGUUUCAUAUUUUUUAGAGCUUUGCCAAACUUAAUGUAUUUAGACUGAAUUUAUUUUUAUCCAAGGUAAAUGCCUAGUGUUUUUCUUCUUCUUUUUUUUUUUUUUUUUUGUAAUUGAAAAGUGAGUGAACUAUUUAAAAGAAGAAGGCUAUUAAAAUUAUGUUUUCUGCUAAUGUAAAAAAAAAUUGGACUCCUGUGUUUUAUAAGGUUUAGGAGCAAAGGCAGACCUUUCUCUGCUGUUGAAUCAGGCAUGUGCCUUUUGCCGUCCUCACAAAGCCUUUCAAAUAUGGUCAACUGUUUCAAGACGUGGAAAAAAACAUGGUUACCAAAUAUUCCAUAGAGAUUUACUAAAGCCUAACAGCAAAUAUUUCCCGAGAUUUCAUCUCCUCCGCCUCGCACAGCUCCUUCCCGUGAUCAGACUUUCCAUACACUGUCCUCACAGGACGACUGAGCAGCCACUAGCUGGGUGCACCAGAGGCCAAACCAGAGGCAACCUCUGUAGUGUUGUCCCUGGCUGUUACUUUGAGCUCCUGAGCUCUGUCCCAGCUUAACUUAGUCCACGGUUCUGUGAUUUUUUGCUGUCUGUUUCUCUAUUAGUCUGUGUGGGCCUGAAGACACCAUUGUAGUUGAUGGGUCUCUGUGGGUAUGAUGCACAUAGCGGAAGUAGUCUUUAUUAGUUUGUUUUUAAAAACAAGUAUAUGCGAAACAUCUCAUUAAGAUAUUAUUCAAGCUACAUGAACAGCUAUCCUAAAAUUACAAAUAACAGAAUGAUCUCUGCAGCCUCAAUAUGCUUCCAACAUGUGUUUGGGAUAUAACACUGGCUCUAGUUUUGUGAUUGUACUGAGAUUUUCUCAUGUGGCUUCAUCCCUACAUCUAGCAUGGAUCUGCUCUGGAGAUGUUGCAGCACUGAGGAGAACUGGUGGAUGGUUACUGCAGAACUCUAGCUCACUUGUUGAGAAGGUGCAAGGUAUUUUCUGAAUGAAGCAGGGCAUGGUAGAAAAAGAAAACAAGGUCUCCAGGUUAAGGUAGUUGAAUUGUGCUCUGGAGAGCUGGACAGUAUCCCUGCCUUUUCUACCGUGCUUCUGUGCGGUAAUGGGCAGACAUUUCCCUAGUGGUUAUUAAUUGCCAAAAAGAGCCUUUCUGCUUGUGCCAGUAGAAUCUGGAACAAGAUGAUUGUGCAAAUGUCAUCCAUCAAUCACAACUCUUUCUUUGGUAAUGCUAUAUAUGACAUUGCAUUUAAUAAAGCCUUCAUUGAGUCAGGUUAGGUAAUUGUUAGUUCCUUAUAGCUGUUUAUAAUCCAAUGUUCAUGUUCUAUUAAUAUUUACACAUUAUACUGAUAAUUAUUUAUAAAUUAUUAUUUGACAAUGAAUUAGGCAAACUAUCUCAAAAAUCUCUGAAAUUCAUGGAAAUGUUCAGGCAGCAUAGGAGAUUGUUUUUCAAACCUCAGCAGGCUUAAUUAGAUCCUGCAGUUCAUUCAUUUGCACUGAAGUCAGCUGGAGUUUUGCAUGUGGAAAGUCUGCGAGAUCAAAAAUUAUGCCCAAUGGGCACAUUGCUCUGUAGAAGAAAAUGUCAGCUCCAGUUGGUAGUAUUUCUGACUUCUCAUAGGUUACACCCGCUCUCCCCCCUCACCUUUUCUCUCUUUCUCAAUUAGCUUUUCUUGCAUUUUUAUGUGAGUGGUUUUGAAAGGGUUUUUGGAAAAAAAGCAUGAUGCAUAUACAGUACAUGUUUUAAUUUACAGAUCAUUGAAAUGGAUAUGCAGAUAAAUAAAUAGAUAGGGUUUUCUGAGCUUGUGAAAUAUGUCGCAUAAUAUAAAACUCUCUUCUAAGUCUGUUUUGUCAAAUAUGUCAAAUGAUAUUUCUGGAAUUCUAUCUCUGGAGUAUAUUUUCAGCAUUUCUUAUUGCUGUUCUUUAUCUGUGCACUGUUGUUUGACAGUCCCUUAAUCUGUCCGAUAUAAACUGUAUGAAUAGCAGCAUUUAAAAAUAUGGCUUCAGGGACAUUUGAGGAGGUUUCUUUGUAAGUGUACAUUUGCUAGUUCAUCUGUAAAUUUAUUUUAUGAGCUGUUUAAACCUCAAGAAAACCAAAAAGCAUAAUAUUAAUACCUAGUUUACAUCUACUGAAGUCAUCGAGAACUUUACAAUUGACUUUAAUAGUAGCCUCUGUCCUCUAAUUUUGAAAGUGGUGAGGAUGAUGUACAUAAAACCACAAGGAGAGUUUUCUGUUUCAUCAUAUCCUAUUCUGUUUGCAGAUGCCUAAGCAAAGUACAAUGUGGUUUGUUCUUGAAUUAAACAAUUCAGCGUUUAGACCUAAUACUGAACUGCGUUCCUACUUUAGCUGGUGUUUUGCUUCUCAAAAGAUCAUGGGCUGCUUAUUCUCUGUGUGGCCCAAGGAGGUGACAAGAUGGAGAACUGAAGGAAGAGAUGUGAAGAAUCUGCCAAAAGCCAUGAAGGAGGCCAGUGGCAAAUCCAGGAACAGAAGCCAAAUCUCCAGCCUAAGGCAGCCUAAUACUGUAAUCAACAAGAAUGUUUGCCUUCUGAUGUUACAAUGAGCUAUGCUGUAGCAAUACCUAUAUAUUAAUAAUUUACCCAAAGGGAACACGUUUGAAUGUGUGUGUUUGGCUAUGCUUUUAUAAAUAAUUCAGAAGAAUUCUCUGAAUUUUAGUUCUGAAUUGAAUUUCUAAUACUGUUUUCUUUAUAACUGGGCAUUUUUUCACAAAUAUUUCUUCAUAGGUCAUGUUUAAAACAUACAGUUCUCAAAAUCUGAUUUAUUAAAAUUACCAGAAGUUAAUGUCCAAAAAUAUCCCAGAGUACCUUCAAUAAUUUGUGUUUCUAGAUAUUUUACAGUCCAGCUACAGAUUUUUUUCAGGGUCCUGAGCACCUCCACUUUAGCAGACGAUGGGUAGUUGGCAUCUCAGAAAAAGAAAGCUGCGUGUUCCCAGUUAGGAUGUUCUUAGCAUUGGAAAUCACUUGGAAAUCUUGCUGUAAAUAUGUUGGAACCAUCACAAGCUCAACUCUGGCUCCAGUUUAGCUGGAGGAAAGGCUACUCCAGUGGACCCAGGCAACAAAGGUGCUGUGAAUAUAGAAGUCAGUUACACAACCUAAUGCUGCCUGAUGUGUUGAGGAGUAUUUGUCACAGUUUUGGCAAAGGUACAACUUGCUUUCUGUCCUUCCUAGCUAUGGCCUCCUAUACCAAGUCAGGAACACGUGCACGAUACUUCUCUUUGAGAUGCUAUUUUUUUGGGGUGUUAAGCACCAAUAAUUGCAUUGGCUGCUGGUUUUACUUGCACUCGAGGGUUUGAAGAGCGCAGCAACUUUCUGCGUGGGAUAGGGAGGGUUUCCAUCUGGCUUUCACCUCAAUCUGACAUAUUAACACUGUGAGCUUCCCAAAAUAGUGCUGGUGUCUAACACUGAAACACUGUUGAAGCAUUGUCUUAGUAGUAGGUAGUUUGGUGAUUUGCUAAGAGCAAAUAUUAAAUCAGACUGGAAAACUGUAUUACUUCUACAACAUACUCCUUAUAGCACCUUUGCAGUUUCCAAAUCUUUAUGUUCAAUGGUUUGCCUGGACACAGGUGAUGAGCAUACUCAGACAAUAUGUCAGGUUUGCUACAAUCAAACCUAUAUAGUAUAUGCAAUUCAUCCAUACUUGUCCCACCAGCAGGUGUCAUUCUGGAAAAAGGAAAAUAUUGUAAAUUCCUGAACUGGAGAAUUUGGCUGUGACAGAGAAGAAGAAGAAAAAAAGUUGGUUUAAAAUAUAGCUUUUGAAGGAUACUUUACUCUAAAUAAAAACCAAAAGAAAGCUAGCUGGUCUGCAUUCUUAAUAAUCUUUGUGCAGCGUGUAAUUGUGACAUGUAACCAACAAAGGGCAGACAAUUGGUAAGGCAAACAAAUGUCUAGUUAAAGCUUUCUUCUGCUUUUUAUUCUUCUCUGUGACAUCUUCACCACUGCUUACUCACGUCCAUGACUAUAAAAUCAGUGAUAUUCAUCAAUCUUUAGGAUGGACUUUCAGCUUUAAUUCCCCCAAAGGAAACAUAGAAUUGAGAAUUCAGAUCUUGUUUACUUCAAGGUGAGCUUGAAGCAAUCUCAUCGAAGCAACUGAAAUCAGUAGAAUUUCUUGGGAUUUAAUCUGAAGCAACCAAAAGUAGUAUUUCACUUUCUGCUCCACCAAAACUCUUGGAAUCAAAGGGAAAUUUACUUGAGGAAAAACAGAACAACAAGCUCCAAGGCUUGGCUGUAAGGAGCACAUUAAAGUGGGAAUCAAUUUCACAUUUUUAACAUUUAUAAUUACAACAAAGUGAUGUAAAAUAAUUGUACUGUAGGCAGCCAUAUCUCUUUCAAGAUGUUUUUUAACUACAACUGCCCCAAUGCUUUUUUCAUGGACAGUAUCAAGCACUCAGUUGCUGAAUGAGAAAAAAUAGUACAUAAAUUUAUAAUUAAUAUCUUCACUUCUAAAAGCUGUAGUCUUGGGUUUGCAUGAAGCUUGUAUUAAUUUUUCUGAUUUUUUUAGUAUUUAACUUUGAAAAUGUAGUGGUAUUCUAAAAUUUGAAGUUAGAAAGUAUAAAAGUAUUGUGAAUGUGACUAGUUAAUUAUGUGCUUUAUUUUUAUAGGACCCAGGUAACAAGCAGUGAUGACCUCCAACUGAUUUUUAUACAGUAAAAGCCCCUGGGGAUCUCACCUGGCCUCUGUCUGCCUGCUCAAAGGUGCAGGUCUCCUGUAGGUCCCACACCACACCUGCCAGGCCUGCACAUGUACCCUCGACACCCCAGGGUAUUUCAGCAGGCAUUAAGUACCUUCCUUUAGGAGUCGGAAUUUCUCCUUUAGAUAAAUGCUGUAAAAGAGAAUACACCUCAACAUAUGCUUAACAAAGUUAAUGGCAGCGCAGCUGUGAAGGUAAUUUCACCUAAGGUGUUUUAUUUAAGUUUAACAAGACAUAGAGGAAGGAAAGUAAUUUCGUAUCUAACAAGUACAGAGGUUAUUGUGUUUAACGGGAUGCUAUCAAGAGUCUGUUUUGAAUUAUGAUGGCUAGGCUGAACCUGUAUGUGAGCUGGGAGCUGUUGUUGCUGAGGGCACACACCACAAAAGGUCCUGGCCAGAAAUCUGGGGCUUCUCAUCAGGGACACAGUGGCCUGAUGUUCAACCUGUUGGGAAUCUGGCAAAAGUAAGCUUAGUUCCUCAGUUUGGGGCAUGAUGCAGCAAACUAAUUUCAGUGAAGAAAGCAGGAAUUUCAAGUACCAGGGCACUGAGAUAGAGGGAAUUAGAGAAAUACUUGCAUUAAUUACAUACACAAUUAGAAACCUAUGUUAAUCAGGUCCAUUUUUGAUGGUCUACUGAAUAAGAGGGAAGUUAAAAAUCUUGAAUAUAUUAGUUAGCGCAUUUGUAUAUGAAUUGUACGAUAUGGGAUUGAGCAUUACUUUUAUAACCGGAACAAUUUGUUGUAUGUAAUAAAUACAAAUGAUAUAUUGUAAAUGUAAAAAAUAUAUAACUAAUCUUAAAAGAAAAUUAAAACUAUUGAAAGGUAGAAAAUUCUGAAUAAAAUUCACCACAGGCACUAAUUAGGAUUGUAUAGGUAGAGAACACUUCCCCGUGAGCUUUUUUAAUCAGUCACUGGCAUUACAAUCAAUAGGAAUUUGGUCUACUUUUGCAGAAGUUUAAAAAUGGAAUUGUUACAGAAAAAUACAUGCUGCAGCGUCACUUACAAAGUAAUCGUAAAAUCUGAUCUAGUAGUAUACGAUAUUAAUUUGAUAAUUUGUGAACAAAGCAGAUGAACUGUAUGCAUGUACUCAUGUACUCUUUUUUUAUGUCUUUAUCAAUCCUUUUCAGGAUCAACCCCUAACGAAUGGCUGUGAUGGUUCCUUGAAGCAAGAAUCAGAUAUCCUCUUGGUGUGAUUCAUUUCAUUGAUCACUGGGAAUCUGAGCCUCAAUGAAGGUGGAGGAAGCCUCUACAGAGAACUGGAAAUUGGUUUGUCCCUUAGGAAGAGUACAAUGGCAUUUUUAACGUUUUUACCAAAUACCAGGGUGUGUGAUAAAGGUUUGUGGGUUGGGAAUUAAUUGAAAGAUUAUGAAACGGGAAAGAACGCGCAUUAUGGGAAGCCUUGGAGAGCUACAACCUAAGCACCCUGAAAUUUGCGACCAAGCCCACAGAAUAUCUCUUAAGUUAUUGGACCCAUCUCAGGUGACUGCUGUUUUUGAUACCAUUUACCAGCCCCAGUAAGCUCCCACAGCCAGACUGGAAAAGGUAUUCCUUUUAUUAAUCUUAGUCCAGGGAACUAAAGUGUAUUCUGGGUAAUGAAAUAUUUAGCCUAUGGAAUAAGCUACAGAAUUGAGGUUUUUGGUUUUGUUUUGUUUUGUUUUGUUUUGUUUUGUUUUUAAAGGUAGUGUGCAUUUGUACCUGGGAGGUGGUACGUGUUUUUAAAAAUGCUGUUCAAAAGAGAAUGUGCUUAUAUCUAAACUCUGUUAUCUGCAACAUAAAGGUUAACAGUUUUAUGUGUAUCAAAAACCACAUCUCUGUGAUGAAACAUGAAAUGUGUAAUAAAAAUAAUAAGUAUAGUACUAUGUAAAUGACUAAAUCAUAUGUGUAAACCUUAAAUAAACAGUUUCAUUUCUAAGGGUUACAGAAAACACUCUAAAAUUUUAUACGGUCUUUCCACCCUCCUUAGUUUUUAAUAUAAUUGCAGUUUUAGAGCUAAUCUGUCUAUUCAUUUAGUAAUAUUUGUAGUUGUGUUAAAUUUUACUGAGGAACAAUUUGGCUUGGGGACACUGUUACACUUUAUCCCAAGUGUGGUUCAUGUUGUCUGAACAAGAAAUGUCUGAGUAUUUGUCCCCAAUGCCCAUAUUUUUACUCCACCGGCAGCUGUAUAUUUGUGGUGACCCUACAGCAAUGUGUGCAAAGAAUGUAUACAGUGGCAGUGCCUCUUCCAGAGAGUACCAGGAGCAAAACUGGAUGUGGUCAACCCACGUAUAAUUUGCUCUUCUUGGUUGGGGUCUCACGUGGACAGCACUUAAAGGACACUUUUUGUGUCUGGAUAAGGUGAAGGUGGGAGAUAGAGAGAAACCAUUCAAGAGCCGUUGCUUAUGUUCCCUGAAACGGGCUAAAAAGAGCAGCACUUCUGAGACACAGCUUUACACUGAGCAUACACAGAGCUGUGUCAUUAUUAAUUCUGAAAAUGGGUUUACAAUAGUUAGGUAAAAUAUUUAGUUACUAUUUAAAUAUUUUGAUGUAUUAUAGCUCAUACACAAAUUUUAGAUGUCUAGUGCACUUAGCAUUUCCAAUUGAAAUAACUAGUUUCGUUAACAUUUUUAGUGUUACAAAUUAAUAACAAAAGGCAGUUAAUACAGAGUGCAGUUAUGAGACCAAAAUACUCGUGGUUUAAAUUUAAAGAAUCAAAUGUUAGCGCUUCCCUAUGGAGAAAGGUUAUUUGGGUAGUGGUGUACUGACAUUAUCACCACCCACAGAGAAGGGGACAUGUUGGUAUUGUUGUGCAAGCAGAAAUUCAAAAAAGGGAAGAAUGUCAGUGUAGAGGGUUUACUUGCUGUAAGUGAAUCACACAGGAAAAAUGCUCAUACCCUGAGUCGUUGUAGCGACCUUUUUUGAUGGUUAGAAGGAGAAAUAAGCAUGAAAUAUUCUUGUCAAGUUAGAGGGUUUAGGUUGCUUGCUAGUUAAAAUCAGUCUUGGUUAUUAAUGCAGUGGAAAGUUAAGUGAUGACCAUGAAAAUAUGAUAAUAAGUGCUGUUGUAAAUUAGACAGGAAUGAUUUUCUGUGUCUAUUAAGAAUGAUAAUCCAAUGGGCUAAUGAUAAACCAUUGGGCUGUAGGGCUGCUAAGAAAUGUGGAAAAUUGAUAAAAUAAAGGAUAAAAGUAUAUUUAAGUAGGUGUUUCUUCAAAGUUUCCUUCAGGAAGGUGCUUCUGGAUGCUACCAUACUGCUUCUGACAAAUCAUGUCUGUUAAGAUAAAAGUAAGAAACAGCAUUCAUUUAGUGGUAAAUAGUGCUAUCUGUAUCUCUGGAUUUCUGUUUAAGCAAAGCUUUAUGAUCAUUUUAUUUGCCAUAGCUAGAAACAAAUCUAAAAAUAACAAUUACUAAUUUGCCACUGUUUAGUGUUAGUUUAAUCUGACAAUUCUGGGAUGGCUUCACCUAUUAUACCUGGAAGAAACUACAUAAAACUGGGUGGUUUUGAUUAGUUUCAUGCCAACAUGGGACUGCACAGAAAAGCCGGGUCUCAACAUCACUGCAUGUAGGGAAAACUUGUUUCUGACCCUCAGUCUGACAACUUGAACACGGACUGAGCUAAACCCCAGGCUACCAGUACUCUGCACUCUGGCUUUUGAAACUUUCUGGAUGAGAUAUAGUUUCAGCAUAAAAAGCCAAAAUGUGGUGGUUUAUGAGCCGUUUUACUUUGUUUGAAGCUAAAAUUCAAAACAAAACUCCUGGGGUAUAGAACUGUCUGAAGCAAAACAUAAGAAAGUUAACACACAGACUCUGCGAACCGAACGAGCCAGUUUCGUUCAGCUCUUGAAAUAACUCCUUUUUGCAAGUUCACUUUUCAAUUGCACAUGUGUGAGAUGUUGAAAAUGAGUUGGUUUCACUACUCCGCGGCACAGAUGAACAUUGCAGCUCUAAAGCAUCACCCUCUGUCUGAGCAAGGUCUUGCUGUCUGUCUCAGCUGAUACUUUAGACGUCUGCCAAGAGAUUAAAUUUUCUCAGUCCCAGAUGAGUUAUAUUUAGCUUUUGUUUUUUGUAAGACCCAAAUACCAGUCUGUAUGUUUUUCGUAGUUAUAUCCAGCUUUGAACUAAUUUCCUAAAUCUCUUAACAGUUCUCUAAAUGGAACCCAGUCCCAAAAUGGCAGGAGUUACUUCACCUCUGGGGGUCAUCCCAGGAUUCGUGUGUUUCAAGUUCAAAGGCUGUUUUUUCAGAGACACUGAACACCUGCUGCUGUUCCUCGCUGCUGUGGGAGCUGCAGGUGCUCAGGUGAAGAUCAGACCCCUCCGCCCGGGGUGCUCUUAUUUACAGUGAAACAACGAACAACCCUCUGCUCUGCUUUCACUUUUUGUAAAAUUUUAAUUCAAAUGGCUUGAAACAAACCUAAGAACAGCACCAACAUAGAGAUACUUUUAGCAGAGCAUUGCUGAGUGUGUGCGAGUUCAGAGUGGUCAGGGCUCCUUCAUUUGCUGGGCAGCUAAUCCACUUUCUUUCCCUCAAAAUACUGAGGGAUUGAACUUCCCAAAUUAUCACUGACAGAGAAGCAAGGUCUCAGCAGCAGCGGGGCUGAGUCAGCUUCUAGAUGUAGAUCUCAGACUUUGGCGACUUUGUUGAGAAGAAAUGGGGUGAUGUUCAGGAAAAAAGAAAUUAAUAUCAGAUAAUCAGUGAUCUUGUGUGCAUAUCUUUUGCGUAUUCGUAUGUCAAAUUUUUGUGGUGAACUGGUACCUAGGAAAGUGGAGAAUACAAGGGGAAAUGGCUGAGUUUGAACGUUUAAGUGUAUCUUGAAAUACAGCUCACAGACUGAGUUACACAAGGAUUAUUGUGAGUUGAAUUUACAAUAUAACGUCUCACCUCUGCACAAAACUGCAUUCUAUAUGGUGUGAGUGUAUGUUACUGAAAAAAACAGUGGUGGUGGUGGAAUGCAAACAUUAUGUGACUUUGCAUAUCACUUGGUAUUUUAAACCAUAAGAGUUUCAGGUUUGAGUCAUAGUCACUUGUAAGUAGGAUAUAUAUAUAUAAGCAUAAAUGGCACGCAAGCUGUAAGUAAGGCUUCUGCCUUGGGGUUAUUUUUCCCUCGAAUUGCAGGUUUGGUUCUCUGUUAUUGUAAAUCAUUAUAGCCUCAGUGAAAACUCAGAAGUCAGAUUAGAUGCUUCCAAAAUAUGAAGAGAAACCUGAACUAGAAACCUUUACAGUCUUCUAUUUUGUUCUCUGGCCACUUUGAUUUUCAGAACCUGUGUUACACCUUUCUUACACUUCAGCUUCUCCACAGUGCUGCCUGCAUGAAGCUGGCAUCAGGAUUUGUCCAACCUCUGAUUCAGGCCAUCAGAGCACUCAGCAGCGUCUGAUCUUUCAUUAGAGGCAGAAACUUUGUUAGCACUGCUCAGAGAGCACCUUUAACCCAGGAUCUUAAUUGGAAAACUCCUCUUGUCAGAGCAAGAGCUGGGGAAGAUGGCACAAGUGUCUGCUAGCAGCCCCAGAGGCAUGUGUGGGAAAAAGUUAUUUUUCUUCUUUAUUUCCUUCUAGUUCAUCCCGUUGACUUAAAACGUGCAUCUAGCCAAGCUCUGCAAAGAGUGACUUGCUGAACAAGGGCAACAAAGAUGAUGGAGUGGAGCAUCUCCAUUAUGAGGAAAGGCUGAGGGAGCUGGGGCUCUUUAACUUGGAGGAGACUGAGGGGUGACCUAAUUAGUGUUUACAGAUAUAUAAAGGAUGAGCGUCACAAGGAUGGAGUGAGGCUCUUCUCGGUGACAACCAAUGACAGGACAAGGGGUAAUGGGUUCAAACUGGAACACAAAAGGUUCCACUUAAAUUUGAGAACUGCUUCUCAGUGAGGGUGCCAGAGCACUGGAACAGGCUGCCCAGGGAGGUUGUGGAGUUUCCUUCUCUGGAGACAUUCAAAACCCGCUUGGACACAUUCCUGUGAAACCUCAUCUAGGUGUUCCUGCUCCGGCAGGGGGAUUGGACUGGAUGAUCUUUCGAGGUUCCUUCCAAUCCCUGACAUUCUGUGAUUCUGUGAACAGGACACUAUAAGGUAGGAUUAGAGGCUCUGUUUAAGAGAAAAUCUGCCUCCGACUUGAGAACAAUCCCACCACAAAAUAAAGUUAACUUUAAAAGUAAUGAGAUUUUCCACUGUUAACUUAAUAGCAGCGAACCACAUGUUCUAAACAAUGUUUCUUUUUUUUUUUUUUUUUUUUUUUUUUGGUAUAAGGACUCAUUUUUAGUAAUAAACCCCAGAGUAUUAGCCCUGCCGUUUUUCCACUGCUGGAGGAAAACGUGGACUCUUGCUGAGUUGUACAAUGAAUAUCUUAGAGAUAUUUGAAUCUGCCACCAAUAAAAAGGCCUAAAAUGCUAAUGUGGAGGAACCAGUUCAAGGUAGAGGAAAUGGAAAAAAUGGGGAGAAAGAAGAAAAAUCUCUUUGGAUCUUUAGCUCUGUUAUUUCUUUAGAUUGUAUUUCUUCUGGGAUCCCAAAAUCUUCAGUAACAAACAAGUUUUCUUUUAAAAAGUAUUAAGUUAUCAAAACAUUUGCCAGAUCCUAAUAUUAAAUCCUAGCAGUCAGCAAUGUUUAAGUUCAGCUAUAUCAUUUUGCUGAGUAAGUCAUGCUAAAACUUAAAGUUUUCCCCUCAAAAUGAUCUUUCCAAAUGAGAUUGAUAUUGUGAGAAAAAAAGAAAAAAGAGAAGGACGCCUUCAUCACGAGGAAUUAUGGAAUUAAUUUUCUUUAUACACUCUGUUUGCACAGGACAUUUUUGUUAACUCUUAAUAAAAAUACCAUUCAGCUGCUACUUUCAUUGUUUUUAUCCUGGGACCAAUACAACAUUGUCAUUAUUGGAUAUAAAGUGCUGUAAAAACAAAUCUAAUUUGUUAAGUUUAUUUUGAUAAGAAAUAAAUAUAAAGGUAGUGCAUAGUUUGUACAGUGCUGCUAUCAUAGGACUCCUGGGUAUAAUUUAUAUAAAGAAAAUAAAAAAGCAUACAUAACUUUCUAGUUGAUUUCCUUUAACAGGGCUAAUUGAAAACAGUUUCUGUUAUUUAAAAGUAAUUUAUUUUAAAUAUACUUUUAAAAACAAAGUUCUUAUUGAUAUCCAUUUUAAGUAUAAUAUUAUCUCAGUGUGGGAUACAAGUAAAAGGUCAAAUCUUGUAGGAGUAUUUUCUGUAUGACUCAGUUCUGAUCAUAGAUAAACUUAUCGGGGAAACCAAAUUGGUUAACCUUUUCAGUACCAAAAGCUUGUUUUAACAGGCUACGAUGGUUUCUUUCACAAAUACAGAACUUCAAAGCUCAUACUUUUGUUCUGAAACGUGAAAAAGAGAGUGCUAAUUUCCCUUUUUUCUAUCUGAUAAAAGGCAAAGGCUAGUGACUAUAACAGGAAAUCAGACUUGUUGAGAUUCACUAUAUAGGCACAGAAAGCAAUACACUAUUAAUUUUUAAUUAAGAGCUAGUGUGCAUAGUGAUACAGCAACAAAAGGCCACAAAUUUUUACUUCAAUUAUUCCUUUAAUUAUGGACAUUGUUAAAGGAGUUAUUUUUUCUUGUCCAGUAGCGUCACACUUAUGUAUGGAUCUGAUUACUGGAGCACUGAAAGACACUGUAUGAACUAAAUGGCUGUAUGCAGCAUACCUCUAGGAAGCAGCCUGUUUCCAUAUUGCUUGAUAGGUUGCUCAAUUCCUGUCCCGUUAACUGCUUUGUGACAUUUCUCGGAAGUCCCUUCGGCUCUACUUCCUUCUUUGUUUCCAUCACAGCAGUGCCAACAAUUCAGUGACGUGGGUUGCUUCCAUACAUGCGGUCAAACUCAGCACCAGAGACCGUCCUUCUUUUUGAAGCCAAAUCAUCAUAGAAUCAUCGAAUUCAGAGUGACUGAAAGGCUUUGGUGGACUUCUGACCUGAGACCACGCUCAUGUCUGAAAAUAAAACUGUCUCGGAUGUUAAUGAGCUGAUGCCAUGAGCUUCAUGGCAUUUAUGCAGUCUCACCUCUAUCAGAAUGAUUUAAUGUGGUAACUGGGGGACAGUUUGACUCAUGAAGGGUUUUGCCUGCAAACUCAGUCCUGCCACCUUUACUCAUUUUUGCAUAGCAUUUACUUUCACUGGCUUGCGUGAAGAUGUUGUGCUCAACAGCAUUAAAAGAGCUGAAGUCUUUCUCCAAAGAGCUCCAAGAGAGCUACAUUCCAGACGUGAUCUGGUGGAGGACUCUCGAGAUGCAGAUAUUAAUGAUAUUUCUCAUAUUCAGUGAAGUAAACGCAUUAAAAAUAUCCAGUGGUGAAGGUACCUAGAAAUCUGGUUUUGAAGGUCAGAGCACGCAGGGCACUAGCUGAGCUGUAGCAAUAUGCUGGUUCUGCACAGCAAAAAGUAACAACAAAAGUCCAUAAGGCAUGUCCCAAGAUGAACUUGAAUGGGCUUGGGAUGGAAAUUUUGCCAGCCCUGGUCAUAUACAGUGAAAUGUUUGUCUCACGCUGGCUGUGGCAAUGAGCUUUUUUUUCUUCCAUAAUUUACAAAAUAUGAGCAAGUAGGUAGUUAAAGCAUUUCCAUUCUUCCAUGAAUGGAAUAAUUUUACAUGGUAUUUUCUAAGCAGAAAAAUAACUGGCACUUGGGGAAUUAGUUUGUCACUCUCACAAAAAGUAAUUUCAUCCGAACAGUCAAAAUAGUGCAGUCAUCUGGACAGACAAUGCAGCACACUCAGCGCAAAUAGGCAGUGAAGAUAGCCUUUUAUUCUAUGAACAAGAGGUGAUUGCUUUGGAAAACUUGCUGCAUCACUUCUAAUUAUUUAAAGGCCAAAUUCAUGGUUUCUUCCUGGAUUCAUUAACUGUGGAGUAUUUUCUUCUUUGUUCUAUUUAAAUUUAGAUUGGUUAUUCAUACUUCCUGGCAGUGAUUAUAAGAGGAGGAUGACUGAGAAUUUGGUAGGUGAGUUAAUCUCAUUUUUACUGUGUCUCCGGAGCCACCACUUUCCCUUCAUGUUACUUGACACCAAAGACUCUUUACAAGUUUUGCAGAGUGAGACCAAAGUACCAACCUCUUGCAUCCUUCCAUCUUUUCUUCUGCCCUGUUUUUGCUGUUCCCCCUUUACCUUCUGCACGUCUCAUUUUUUAGCCCCCCUCACCAUCCUGACACUUGGAUCCCUUCCAAACAUGCCUCCUACCUACAGAUGUCUGGUGGGAUUGUCAUCAUUUGAGGUUGAGGAGUCAGUAGAGAGUGGCUAGGGGGUCACUGACUCAAUGGGGUGAAGUCCAGAGGUCCCAAGUGAAACCCCAUCUCCAGCCCCAUACCUUGAAAAUGAGCAUGGUUCUAGUGUCAGCAAGGAAUCGCUUUAACUUUGGGACUUCUGAAGCCCAGUGGAUUUGUAUGACAGGUGAGCACAAACUGGUGUUGAAGCCACUCUCCAUGUUGAAAUGUUGUGGCUCCUUCCCCCUUCAGUGGGUAUUAGGAGUCAUAAUAACAUAUAAGUUCACACUACAGCCCCACUUUCAGUCCCAGCACUUGUAGAGUUUGUGUAUGGAUCUUCUCUUUUCUCGCUGGCCAGUUAUUUUCAUGUGGAUUUAGAGAUGCUGAUAAACUUUGAGAUCCCUGUUGCAUUUGACUUCCUUGGCAAAGACGUUCAGCCGCUUUUCAAGGGGAAAGGCACAGAUGUGAACACACACCUCCUGAAACGGCUUUACAAAAUGUGGCCAAGCUAUAGAUGGUGGAGAAAUCUUUUUGAUAUUCUUGCACUAGUGGUUGUACUAAACAUUGAUGUGGACUUUCAGCAGGAAUUUUGCCCUGGCUGUGUUGUCUCUACUCUCUUUCUUUUUCUCUCUUCCUUCCUUCCUUCCUUCCUUCCUUCCUUCCUUCCUUCCUUCCUUCCUUCCUUCCUUCCUUCCUUCCUUCCUUCCUUCCUUCCUUCCUUCCUUCCUUCCUUCCUUCCUUCCUUCCUUCCUUCCUUCCUUCCUUCCUUCCUUCCUUCCUUCCUUCCUUCCUUUCUUUCUUCCUUCCUUCCUUCCUUCCUUCCUUCCUUCCUUCCUUCCUUCCUUCCUUCCUUCCUUCCUUCCUUCCUUCCUUCCUUCCUUCCUUCCUUCCUUCCUUCCUUUCUUCCUUUCUUCCUUCCUUUCUUCCUUCCUUUCUUUCUUCCUUUCUUUCUUCCUUUCUUUCUUCCUUUCUUUCUCUCUCUUUCUCUCUUUCUCUCUUUCUCUCUUUCUUUCUCUCUUUCUCUCUUUCUCUCUCUCUCUUUCUCUCUCUCUUUCUCUCUUUCUCUCUUUCUUUCUCUUUCUUUCUCUUUCUUUCUCUCUCUCUCCCUUCCUCCCUCCCUCCCUCCUUCUCUUUUACACUGAGAGAUGACUGAAACAGGCCUGUGAUGUGCUACCAGUCUCAUUAUCUAAGAUAAUGAGAAUAAGGGAGAUUGCAGAUGGCUCAAUGCAUCUUUUAACAGAUAUAUUAAAAAGUUGUCGUGAUGUUAGAGAAGUACACAAACUCGCCGUGAUAAAUCUCCCUGGUGCACCUCACAGCUUCUGAGUUUUGCUGUGUACUCUCUCUUCAAUGCUUCUGCUCCAAAAAAACACCUCAUUGGUUCAGGUCUUUUAAAUAAAGCACUAUCAAAACAUAACAUCUCUAAAGUCACCAUUUGGCGAGUGGCUGGAGAGCCUAUACCUCUCCCCAUUGCUGCCCCAGGUCCUGGACGUUCGAUGUGCCCAGAGUUCCCUACGAUCAGGAGGCGACAGCCCAGCCCCAGGCUUUGCUCAACAGCUGAGCACCCACUCCCUUUCCUGCUGCAAACCUACGGUGAGCAUGACUGUCACACCACCUGCUCUCACCCUGCUUGGGGAAACAGUUUCCAGGUUUUUGCAGUCAGUCUUGGAGAACUUUAAAGACUUGCAGGGAUAUUAGAUGCUAAAAUGAUCAAAUACUACAAAGCUUUGUAGGGAGAUGUGGUUGUUUUGAGACCGGAAUGUUAUCUUAUUUUUUUCCCAAAUGUAUAUGUUGGUCUCGGGAAAAAUAUUACCUCUUUCCACAAACUUUCCACAAAUUUCCACAAAAUCCCUGCAUUUUUAGCCUUGGAUUAUCCUGGCUGCAACAGCAGUAAAAGUACCUUCAGCUUUUUAUUUUCUUUUCCAUUUCAAGCCCUCUAAAUGACAUGUUGAUGUUCUCACUGCUAGCUGAAGAGGAGUGUAUCUCACAAGGUUCCUGUCUUCAUGUGGGACGUGGCAUUACGCUGAAGAAUAUGCCCAGAACAGUGCAAUGUGGAUUUCACCUGCAGCCAGGUACAUGGAGGAGUGGAAGUUGCAGCAGCUGCCAGAGGAUCGGUUCUUAAAGGAUUUGGACACUUGAGAUCAAACCCAGGGAGCUGUGAGAAUUUUGAAGGAUCAGGACCUGGGUGUUUCUUUUGGGUUUAGCUUCAUGCCAAGCUGAAUCUUCUCUUGCUGACAAAGAAAUCACCCUUUUUGACCGAAGUGAUAGAACAAUUGGGGGUUUCUGCUUCCCAGUGCCUUGCGUUCCUGAGUACAGAUGUCUGUCAUUAGUUGUUAUGGACCUUAAACCUUUCCAUAAUUACUGUGGUUGCAGUUCUGCAAAUAGGAAGGGAUGGUGAGAUCUGGUCACUGAGCAUGGUCCUGUCGUGUCUGUGGGUUGUGUGGUCUUCUCUGAGCAUUGACCAAAUUCAGUGUCCCACCACAGCUGUUUUUUCCCUGUAAUGUAUUAUCUCUAAUAAAACUGAAGCCAUUCAAUUCA